UAUAUAAUUAAGAAAUAGCUAAAAUACAUAUUAUACGAUAUCUUGUGUAUUACAACGAACUUUAAAGCUUAAAUGACAAUUCAGAUGUCACUUUCUAUGAAAACAAUUGCAUAAAUGACAAUUCAGAUAUUAGCUCCAUAGCUGGCUCCAUUCAUGUAAAAGUGAAACUGAUCUGCUGCAGAUGGAUUAUUUCUUCUUUGGCUUAUUUAAUUAUUAUGUUAAAGGCCAUAUAUUCUCUCUUUUUCUCUGUUUUUCUUUUCAAUUUCACUAGUCAUUCAAUAGCCAUUUGUUGUCACUCAAAUACUGGAAGUCUCAACUUUCUCUCAAGUCUCUAGUCUCAACCAUUUUCUCACGAUUCUCAAACU
rnacentral:misc_RNA from 1 species